GAUGAGCUGGUGGAAGUUCCCCUGACAAGUGCAGGGCAAGUAAGUAGGGAUAAAGAGGGUUACUUACUAGGUAUAUUGGCAAUUGUUAUCCACCAGGUAGAUACAUUUUAAAUAAAAUAAAUGGCAAUUAAAGGGUUAGUGCAACCUAGUCCAUGUCCCCGUUUGCAGUCGUGUCAAGUUACAGUAUGGUAGUCCUAUUAUGUCUCUCCUAAGAAAAAUUUUUUUAGCUGUAAAACAACGUAUGCACACGCAACAGCAAUAUUAAUUCAGAAGAAAUGUAGUCUCCUUUCUGGUUCUACAUAGAGAUCCUGAGAGUGUUCUGUUCAUUUCUCAGUGAGUAUUCAACUUAAAAUGUUUAUUAAAGCCUCUUUUUAUUGUGAUUUAUCAUAAAUCAUACCAUGUUUUCUUUGUGCUUCAGGCAGUCUCCUGCCUUUUCUGGUUCUACAUUGAGACCUGGACUGUGCUGUUAAUUUCUCAGAACAGUUGGCAACCUUAGAAGGCAUUAACCUGGAAGUGGAAAAAAAACAAAAGUGGGGAAGAUUAUUAAGGUGACACAAAUUCAAGUGAGCACAAAUGAAAGGUCACUUGAAUGGAAUUAAGAGCAACACUGGUUGUGUGCCCCUCACAUGAGGCCUCACCUCCAUCAUUCCACUUUACUGACACCUCUGUAAGGCCUUUUUGCAGAGAGAGAGAAAAAAAACGAACAAACCCAAAGGACGAGAACUCGAG